GGCGAGGUAGCUUAGUGGUAAAGCACUGGAGUCAUAACCCAGAGACCGAGGGUUCGAAUCCCUCUCUCGCUA
rnacentral:tRNA from 1 species